CAGUGAAAAGCCAAAUCAGAGGCAUUUAACUGUUAAUUAAAAAAUUGUAAUUAUUUACUUCACUGG
rnacentral:tRNA from 1 species